UGUUGCACACAGUGAGGCCUAGCGAAUAGCAUGUAAUGUGGAUAUAUGACCGUUUAAGUGUUCGAACAAAGAAAGGUGUGUUUCCGAACUGUGCGUUUCCUCGAAAGGCCUUUAUUUGCCGUGGUUGUUGGUCAUUAACAGGGACAGCAGGCGAAAUUCGUGAUACAUGUUACUGCCUGUGUAUCACUCCUACCUUGUUCCGUCGUUUGCGCGUUAUAACAAUGCAACAAUGUAGGAAAGCGUCGUAAACUGUUAGUGUUUUCAUCAAGGCACACAGGUAUAUGUAAGAAGAAAAAAUAAAUUUUGGGUCGCAGGUCCACUUGGGGCGAGCGAAGACGACAACGAUUUAGGGCAUCUACUGAUUGCGGAACAAGAUUUGUUUCGUGAGCAUCUGCCUCACUUGGGCACCACGACUUGCUUCUGUAAUUCUUCUACUAUGUUCUCUUAAUCUGAUGCCAGCAUACUUUUGCAGGAUCACUUUUGCCAGUGAAAUUAUGUGAUCAGGCUCCUCUGCAUAGUGCUGGCACAGUGGUAGCUUGUCACCGUGUGUUAGGAUGAAGUGAUUAAACGAUUUCAAAACGAUCGCCCGCACUACAAGCUUCACAGACCUCAAUUUCUCGAGACGAAAGGUCUGCUCAGCGCUACACAGCAGACGUGUAACAAACCAGUAUGGUUUAACCAGCCCUCCAUUGUCCCUGAGCAUGAUGAGAACACUUGAUGUCUCGUCAUCUAGGAGUGUGUCCAAACAACCAUUACAGGUGAGUUUUGAGGAGACAAUUCUAACAACAUAUCCUCCAAUAUAGGCAACAAUGUCCUCGCUGAACCUGCUGAGUCUGGAUGAUUCCCCGUAGUCAUGGUCAGCACACUGUAGAAGGGCACAGAUGUUGUCCUCUGCAGGAACUUCUGCAGUGGGAGUCUCCUCACCUGCACUUUCCUCCCUUCGCGGCUUGCCCUGGUGACCGAGUGUCUCUAUGCCUUCCACUGUAGGCGCAACAUUCGCAGAGCUUGGGGCCUGAACUUCAGCGUGUAUCAGAAGCUUCCUGUAGGCAUGACGGAAUUGGGAAGCUGAUGGGUUAUUAUUCCAUCCUCCUCUUUGCCUGAUGCAGCUGAAGAACAGUUCCAAGUGGUCCUGGCUGAGGCGACCUCUACAUGUUACCUGCAUGCGCCCGCCUGGAACAGCGCUUCUGCCAGCUGUGCGACACUUUUUAGCGUAAAGGCCACGCUGAUGACUGACAUGCGUCUCCCAUGCUGAGCAGCUAGCUCCCCGGAUGGAAGUCGCAGUGUCAUCAUUCUUGACGACAAUCUUUAGUGGCCACAGUCAUGAAAAUGAAAGGCCUACUCAUCUACGUCGGCAAUGAACGAAGCUGUUGCGUCACUUCCUUCAAAUUCGGUCAAUCCCAGGAGCCGUGCGUGGGUCAGGGCUUUGCUCACGGAUGAACUUAGAGUCUGCGCUGCAAGGCGGACCUUCAUGAUCUGGCGGCCAAACUCAAUAUGGGAUCUGGUGAGCUUGUUUGCUGCUCUGAGGCCCUCCUUCUCUUGGAGUUGCUGCAGCCUUUCAAUAAAGGCCCACCUGAUUGUCUAAGAAGGGUGAAAGUAUACUUAAAUUUGUUGGCAGGCAAGAGAGAAACUGAAAUGGAAGCUAGGUGUACUGCAUUCAAAUGCAGAAAAGUGAGCUCAACUUAUGCAUAAUGCUGGAACGUGGAGGGACCAGAAAAAAACUCGUCCAUCCUUGUUCCCACAUUAUUCACAAGGGACAGUUGGUAGUAUUGUCAUCCUAUUUGCUUACUCCAUAGUGGCUGCUCUGUAACACCUUGUGGUCCCCAAACAGGUUCCUGAGCAGUUUAAGACUGUGUGCAGCAUCAAAAAUUAGGUGUAUGCUCUUGUCAGCAUCAGCAGGAUGGGAGAAAAAUGUCCGAAAGUCCUCUGUGUUGUUGGCAUGGAUAUGGCACCCCAGCAGUCGCCCCAUCAUAACAUUAGACGAUAGCCCGUCACAGACGACUGCCACGACUUCGAGCCCACAAUUUGUUAGCACCAUGAUGGCUUCUGUCAGUAGUGUCUUCAGUACUUCCCCAGAUAGCCCCUUAUUUAGAAAAUAGCCGAAGGGUAUUUUCCAUGGUGAUGCCACGCCCACAGCCAUAAAUACCAAAGAGUCACCUGCUAGGGGCGCAUCAUCCGUGUCAUGAGGUGUGUGGUCCUCCCCAAAAUCAACGCAACCAAUUAGCCGUCCAGUGGCCUUGUCUACUUCACAUUUUUUGCGUAUGCUCAUUCCAUCAAGCAUGAUUGAGCACAGCUUCUCUCUCCUCUCAGUUGUUUCAUGCUUUUUCUUCAGGUGGUCUAAGACUUCCUGCGUGAAGCCAGGCCAAGCACCAAUAACCUUUGACCAUUCGCGGAGUGUGUCUACAGCUGGCAUUGGGAAUAGUUUUGAGACAUAUUUGUAGGCACGAGGUGAAUAAAAGUGGAGUGUCAUUGCAAAUCUCCUAGUUUCUGGGGAAUAUCUACGGCCUGGCUUUUUCUUUCUCACGUUCUUUGCCCAUUCCUUAAGUAUCUCUUGUGGCAGUUCCCCAAAGGACUCCAGCUUUGUUUGAGCCUCCUCUGCCAACAAGUUCUUUUCCUUCAGUUCAGCAAUGAGGCUUUUUAGAUUUUUAAUUUUCUUUUCUCUCCU